AGNAUGGGCGGAGCCUGAUGCAGCACGCCGCGUGCGGGAUGACGGCCUUCGGGUUGUAAACCGCUUUCGCCUGUGACGAAGCGUGAGUGACGGUAAUGGGUAAAGAAGCACCGGCUAACUACGUGCCAGCAGCCGCGGUGAUACGUAGGGUGCGAGCGUUGUCCGGAUUUAUUGGGCGUAAAGGGCUCGUAGGUGGUUGAUCGCGUCGGAAGUGUAAUCUUGGGGCUUAACCCUGAGCGUGC
rnacentral:rRNA from 1 species